rnacentral:rRNA from 1 species
AGUGAACGCUGGCGGCAGGCCUAACACAUGCAAGUCGAACGGCAGCACAGCAGUAGCAAUACUGUGGGUGGCGAGUGGCGGACGGGUGAGGAAUACAUCGGAAUCUACCUUGUCGUGGGGGAUAACGUAGGGAAACUUACGCUAAUACCGCAUAAGACCUUCGGGUGAAAGCCGGGGACCUUCGGGCCUGGCGCGGAUAG